rnacentral:rRNA from 1 species
AUUGAACGCUAGCGGGAUGCCUUACACAUGCAAGUCGAACGGAGUGGCGAACGGGUGAGUAAUGUAUCGGAACGUGCCCAGUAGCUGGGGAUAACUACGCGAAAGCGUAGCUAAUACCGCCUACUAUUGGAGCAGCCGAUAUCGGAAUAGCUAGUUGGGGGGGUAACGGCUCACCAAGGCGACGAUCCGUAGCUGGUUUGAGUUGACGACCUGCCACACUGGGAAGGAGACACGGCCCAGACGCCUACGAGAGGCAGCAGUUGGGAAUUUUGGACAAUGGGCGAAGCCCUGAGCCAGCCAUCCCGCGUGUGCGAUGAAGGCCUUCGUGUUGUAAAGCGCUUUUAGCAGGAAAGCGGUACCUGCAGAAUAAGCACCGGCUAACUACGUGCCAGCAGCCGCGGUAAUAC